rnacentral:rRNA from 1 species
CUACGGGGGGCACCAGUGGGGAAUAUUGGGCAAUGGGCGCAAGCCUGACCCAGCAACGCCGCGUGAGGGAAGAAGGUUUUCGGAUUGUAAACCUCUGUCCUUGGGGACGAAGAAGUGACGGUACCCAAGGAGGAAGCUCCGGCUAACUACGUGCCAGCAGCCGCGGCAAUACGUAGGGAGUAAGCGUUGUCCGGAAUUACUGGGCGUAAAGGGUGCGUAGGCGGCAUAUUAAGUCAGGUGUGAAAUACUCGGGCUCAACCCGGGGGCUGCAUUUGAAACUGAUAUGCUUGAGUGUGAGAGAGGAAAGUGGAAUUCCUAGUGUAGCGGUGGAAUGCGUAGAUAUUAGGAGGAACACCAGUGGCGAAGGCGACUUUCUGGCUCAUAACUGACGCUGAGGCACGAAAGCGUGGGGAGCAAACAGGAUUAGAUACCCUCGUAGUC